AAGGGUAUAGCUUAAUUAAAGUGCCUGCCUUGCACGCAGGAGAUGUGGGAUAGUGUCCCGCUACUCUUA
rnacentral:tRNA from 1 species